UUUUUUUUGAGUGCUCUCAUAUUUGCUAAUACUAUGUGAUGGUUCAGACACAUAAUGUUUUUGGCUCCAGUUCUAGAAUCAGCUAUUUCUCCAAGGAUCCCUAUAUCCUUUUGAUUAAAAAUGGCAUUAGAAAUGAAGAUUUGAGCACUAGAUGUGCUUGCUGCUGCUGGGUGAGGUUGCUUCUAGGCCUUGUGAAGCUUUUGGAAGGAGAUAUAUGUUUGUCUAAUCCAUGUAUACACAAAUACCUAUCUAUAGCUAUUGUAAGCCACACAUAAGUUCACACUAACAUCUGCAAUUCUAACCUAAUACUACAUGGACCAUUCUAGCCUCCUCCCCAUUGUCUAUGGGUAACCUCCAACUCCAUCAAUGAGAAGUGACUCCCCAUUGCCAUCUACUUACUUGCUGGUUGAAUUCCAGUACACAUGCACAAAGGUUUCAGAUUUGUGCAUUAUCGAUGGGAAUGUGGUGCAUAUAUGGUCCUUUUUGCCUUUUGUCUAAAAGUCUUCACUCAUUUCCAAAGUUGCUUAGCUCAGUACUUUUCCUUCAACUUCUUAGUGAGGAUAUUUCAAGUAUUCUUAAUACCAUUGGACAUUUUUGUCAUAGUCAACAUUCCAUCAUGGAAUCUCCUGAUUAUGUGAUAAUCUCCUAAAUGAUUUUUUAAAAAAUUUGUGUCAAUUGAGGCUCAUUCAAUUUGCAUAGAGUUAUAUGGAUUUUGAAAAAAAAUGCAUAUUAUCAUGACUUUAACAUUAAGAUAUGCAGAAAAAUUUCUCUGUCCUAUAAACUGCUCCUCCAAGACUCACUUAUUAAUAUCUCAUCCCUUCCCAAAUCCUGGCAACAACUGAUCCAUUGAUCAUCCUUAUAGUUUUACAUUUUCCACAAUGUCAUAUAAAUGGACUCAUAACAUGUAUGUAACUUUUUAAGACUGGUUUCUUUCAUUUAGCAGUAUACAUUUAAGAUUCAUCCAUGCUUUUACAUGGCUUGGUAGCUUAUUUCUUUUUAUUGCUGAAUACUAUUUUAUUAUAUGAGUGAAACAUAGUUUUCUUACCCAUUCACCUACUGAAGGACAUUUUGGAUGCUUCUAGUUUGAGGAAAUUUGGAAUAAAGUUAUAAUUAACACUCAAUUCCAGAUUUUCAUGUAUGUGUGGACAUGAGAUUUCAAAUCAUUAGAUAAAUACCUAGAAGGUUAAUGAGUAUCAUAUGAUCAGACUAUGUUUAGUGUAUUAGUUUUCUACAGGUACCAUAACAAAGAAUUACAAAGUAAGGGGCUUAAACAACAAAUAUUUACUGUGUCACAAUUACGGAGUCUACAAAUCAUUGUUACGGUGUUGCAUGGGUGGUUUCUUCUGAAAGCUGUGAGGUAGAGUCUACUGCAUAUUUCUCUCCUAUAUUCUGAUAGUUUGCUGGUAAUUUUUGGCAUUCCUUGGCAUGUAGAAGCAUGACCUGAUCUUUUCUUCUAUCUCUGCAUGGUACUCUGUGUGUGUGCGUGUAUGUCUCCAAAUCACCUUUUUUUUUUAAGAUUUAUUACUUUUUUUCAAAGAUUUUAUUUAUUUAUUUAUGACAGACACAGCGAGGGAGAGAGAGAGAGAGAGAGAGAGAGGGAGGCAGAGACACAGGCAGAGGGAGAAGCAGGCUCCAUGCAGGGAGCCCUACAUGGGACUCGAGCCCGGAUCUCCCGGAUGACACCCCCCAGCUGAAGGCGGCGCUAAACCGCUGAGCCACCAGGAUUGCCCCCAAAUCACCUUUUUAUAAGGAUACUGGUCAUAUUAGAUCAGGGGCCCAUACUAUUCCGGUAUAACAGUAUAAUCAAAUCUGUAAUGACACUAUUUUCAAAGAGUAUUCGUAUUCUGAAGUACUGGGAUUUAGAACCUCAACAUAUUCAGGGGCAACGGUGAGGACAAAAUCCAUAACAUUUAGGAUUUUUGUAUAAAUCAGCAAAUUAUCUUCCCAAGUGGCCAUACCAUUUUACAUUUCCAUCAGAAAUUAGAAAAGUCCUGGUUGCAUUAUAUUCUUGCCAGCAGUUGGUAUUACUAGUUUUUGGUUUUGUUUUGAUAAUGCUGUUGUUAUUUGUAAUUCUGCCAUUCUAAUAGAUAUGUAGUUGUAACUCAUUGUUUUUGUCUUUCUCUAAUGACAAAUUAUGUUGAGCCUCUUUUCAUAUAAUUAUUUGCCAUCUAUAUAUCUUCUUUGAUGAGGUGUCUCUUUAGGUCUUUUUCCCAUUUUGAAAUUCUUGUCAUUUGUUCUCUUAUUGUUGAGUUUUAAGUAGUCUUUGUAUAUUGUAGGUAAAUGUCCUUUAUCAGAUAUGUGGUUAGUAAAUGUUUUCUGCCUAUUGAUGAAUUGUCUUUUCAUUCUCUUAACAAUGUUUUUGUUUUAAAUUUUAAAACAUGCAAAUUGUCGUUUUUUUCUUUAAUGGAUUUGCUUUUGGUGUUUUAUGUAAAAACUCAUCAAAUCCAAGGUCACAUGGAUUUUUUUCCCUACAGCCCUACAGUUUCAUAGUUUUACAGUUUUCUCCUAUAGCUUCCUAGGAUUUUUAAAAAUAUUUUAUUUAUUUAUUCAUGAGAGAGACAGAGAGAGACACAGAGACAUAGGCAGAGGGAGAAGUAGGUUCCCUGUGAGGAGCCUGAUGUGGGGACCUCCUGGGACCCCAGGAUCAUGCCCUGAGCGAAUGGCAGAUGCUCAACCACCCAGGUGCCCCACUUACUGGGAUUUUUUAUCUGAAUUAUGUUGAAUCUAUAGAUCAAAUUGGGAAGAACUGGCAUAUUAAAAAUAGUAAUUCUUCUAAUUCAUGAGCAUGGAAUAUUCCAUUUAUUUAUACCUUCCUUGAAUAAAGAUACUUUUAUUUUGCCCUUUCCCAUCUGUAUACAAUUUAUUUAUUUUUCUUGUCUUCCAGGAUGAUAAUGAAUAGCACUCGUGAAAGAGAGGACAUCUUUGCCUUUAUUCCAAUCUUAGAGGGAAAGAGUUUGGUUUUAACCAUCAAAUAUUGUUGUAGGUUAUUUUCCAUAUAUUCACUUGAGUUGAGUAAAGCCAUUCUCUUUCACUCCUGGUUGUUAUUGUUUUGCUGUGGUUUUGUUUUUGAGAGCUGUACUAUGAAUUGAUAUCUAAUUUCAUUAAACACUCUUACUGCUCCUAAUGAUAUGAUAUAUUUUUAAAACUUAAUUUUUUGUUUAAUGUUCAAACAAUGAAGAUAUUCUUAAAAUCAGGAACAGUAUAAAGUUGCUCACUAUUAUCAUUUCUAUUCAAUAUUACUUGAAAUAUCUCCAUACAAUUCUAUACAUCUCAACAAGCAUGUAAAAAAUGUUUUUUCAGUAGCUUAUUCAUAAUACCAGCACCCUAUUAUCUAGAAGUCAAUCAAUCAAAAGAUUUCCUAAUUUUUAUUUUGAGAAUAUUUUAAGACAUUGUUUAGUUUCAACUUAGUUAAUAAAUGGAAAGAUGAUGGGUUUAUAGCUAGGGAGAUUUACUAUAUUAAAGAUGUCAAUGGUCUCCAAAUUAGACUAUACAUUUAAUAUUAUCGGUCAAAAUCCUGAAAUAUUACUUUGUGAAGAUUUACCAGCCAAUCCUAAAGUUCAUAUUCCAAGAGUAAAAGAACAAGAAAGUUCCAUUUUCUGUAAUGGCAGAAUUGAUAAUUCUGAAAACCUCAUUGAAAACAAUUAGAGUAUUAGUCAAAAUGUACUUUAAAAUUCUGUUUGGCACUAUGCUUAAAGAAAGAAGCCAGACACUAGAGUAUGUGUACUAUAUGAUUCCAUUUUUAUAAAGUUCUAGAAAAGAUGAAGGUAAUCUAUAGGGAGAAAACAGAUUAGUAUUGCUUGGGACCAGAGACAAGGGGUUGUUGAGUGCAGAAAACAUGCAGGAAGUUUUUAUUAUGAUAAUAAUGUUUCAUAUCUUGAUUAUGAUGAUUGCUAUACAAGUAUAUACUAGUAUAUUAUAAGUAAUCAAACUAUGCAGUAUCUUAUAUGUAGAUUAUCCCUCAAUAUUUUUUUUUAAAAACCUAUUUGAAAGUAUCAGAGGGUUAACAAGACAGUAAACAAGAUAGUACCCACUAAAGACAAGGGUCUUGGGAAAGGAAGAGAUACAGUAAAGUUUUUGGAGAAACUAUUCCUGAGUUGCCAUUUGCCACCUCCAGAGAAGGAAGCCAAAAGAGGAUGAACUGACAGCCUCAUAGAAGCUAGAAAGACAAGGACUGAUAGAGGGCCAAAGAGGAGACGAGAGCUAGUAAAUUUCUUUUGCUUGGCAUUAGUAACUGCAUUGGCUAUGUCACAUACAUAAGUGUGAAUCAGAAGUAGACAAGACCUGGGGACACCUGGGUGGCUUAGGGGUUGAGCAUCUGCCUUUGGCUCAGGUUGUGAUCCUGGGGUUCUAGGAUCCAGUCCCAUAUCAAGCUCCCCACAGGGAGCCUACUUCUCCCUCUGCUUAUGUCUCUGCCUCUCUUGUGUCUCUCAUGAAUAAAUAAAUAAAAUCAAGGAAGAAGAAGAAGAAGAAGAAGAAGAAGAAGAAGAAGAAGAAGAAGAAGAAGAAGAAGAAGAAGAAGAAGAAGAAGAAGAAGAAGAAGAAGAAGAAGGAGGGGGAGGAGAAGGGGGAGGAGGAGGAGGAGGAGGAGGAGGAGGAGGAGGAGGAGGAGACGACAAGAACUUUCUGGGGAUGCAGUUCAGCUUUAAGCCAUAUCAGUCCUGGGAAUUAGCCAAAAGUGAGACCAGAUUGCACUCCCAGCUACUUGGUUAAAGUAAAUAUGAACCUUCUAUGGUGGGAGAUAUUAUUGUAAGCCUCAAAUUAUUUUUAUUUAUUUUUAUUUUUUUCAAAUUAUUUUUAGUAACAAUUUUGCAAACACAACAUCCAACACAUGAUAAAUAAUAACCCAGCAACCAAAGUCAUCAAAAACAUGGAAAGUCUGAGAAACUUACACAUACUAGAAGAGUCUAAGGAAACAUAGUAACUAAAUGCAACUUGAUAUUUUAGAUGGGCUCCUAAAAAAGAAAAAGAAUAGUAGUGCAAAACUGUUGAUACAGAAAUAGAAUGUAGAAUUGGUUAUAUGCCAAUGUUGGCUCAUUUUGUCACAAAUGUACCAUACUAAAAGAAGACAUUAACAAUAGGAAAAUGGCGAGGGAUAUAAAGGAACUUUCUACACUGGAUUAGCAACUUUUCUGUCAAUUUAAAACCACUUAAACUAAAACAUUUACAAAAAAUUUCACAUGAAGAGACAAGACCAGUUAAAAAGAAACAGGAGCAAUGACUACUCAAUAGAAAUAGAUAAAUGGUCUCAAGAAAUUGAAGUUAACAGUAAUAGCCUUUAAAAUGACUAUAUAUAUUAUUAAAGACAGACAGACACAGGGAGAGAGAUAGAGUGAAUCUCAAGCAAGCUCUGUGCCAGCACAGAGCCCAAUGCGGGGCUCAAUCUUACCACCCUAAGAUCAUGACCUGAGCCAAAAUCAAGAGUCAGGCACUUAACCUACUGAGCCACGCAAGUGCCCCCAAAAUGACUAUAGUGAAUGUGUUCAAAGGAGAUUAAAAACAAUAGUGGGAUGUUGGCAAAAAGUAUACACUUUUUAAAAUGUUUUUAUUUAUUCAUGAGAGACACUGAGAGAAGAGAAAGAAAGAGACAGAGACACAGGCAUAGGGCGAAGCAUCCAGGGACCCCGAUGUGAGACCCGAUGUGGGACUCAAUCCCAGAACUCCAGGAUCACCCCCAGAGCCAGAGGCAGGCACUAAACCCCUGAGCCACCCAGGGAUCCCCAAAUAAACACUUAAAAAAACAGACAAAAGACUAAAGCUAAAAAAUUUUUAAACAUUUAAGCUCAAAACUUAAAUUAAUGAAUUCAAUGGAUGAGGCUUCUUCCUUUAUCUUUGACAUGUAAAGAGGUUGGUAGUCACAUUCCUGUCCCUCCCUAUAAGCAAGAGAAUACAAGCAAACUGCCAAAUCAAAAUCUGGAGUCAUGCAUAGCCAGAGAGAAACUUGCUUGCUUUAAAACAGAAGCUGCUAGACACCCUAAACUAGUAGGAUCACUGACCUAUCCAGCAGUUUACUCAGUUUCUGGAGGCUGAAUGAGGACUAACUUGAGAACAAGAAAUUCCUGGGUCACAUUCAUAGAAAUAUCCCCAUACACUUAUCGACUCUUUCCCUCAAAGAACCACAACAGGUUCCCAAAGUGAAGAUAUAAGAAAAAUUCCCUUGUAGUCAUGGAAAAAGAAAGUCAUUGAUAAUCUCUUCUCCCUAACAAAGACUGACUUCCCAGGGGAAACCUCAUUCCAGCAACAGCAAGGAAAGUCCAAUCCACUCUAAUCUGCCCUAGACUUUCUGUCUCAUCUACCAAAAAAAAAAAAAAA
rnacentral:lncRNA from 1 species